rnacentral:rRNA from 1 species
UACGUAGGUGGCAAGCGUUGUCCGGAUUUACUGGGCGUAAAGAGCGCGCAGGCGGUCGGAUAAGUCGAAUGUGAAAGCCCCCGGCUCAACUGGGGAGGGUCAUUCGAUACUGUUCGACUCGAAGGCAGGAGAGGGAAGUGGAAUUCCCGGUGUAGUGGUGAAAUGCGUAGAUAUCGGGAGGAACACCAGUGGCGAAGGCGACUUCCUGGCCUGUUCUUGGCGCUGAGGCGCGAAAGCUAGGGGAGCAAACGGG